rnacentral:tRNA from 1 species
GCACUCGUGGCCGAGCAGUGAGGCCCGCGGCUGCAAACCGUGUCACCCCGGUGCAAAUCCGGGCGAGUGCUCCA